AUCCAGCAGAGAGAAGCCUCACGUGUUCGUGCACUUGCCACCCUUCACCUUGGUGCGUUUGGAAAUGGAUUAAAUAAAAGGAAUGUGGUCACUGGGAGCAUUUGGCAUCUCCUCUUUGUUGAGUCUCGGCAUUUCCCACCAUCGGGCUUCUUGUCCUGAGGAUGUCCCAUCGGGAAUGUGGCAGCUUCACCGGCACCAGGAUGGGAGACACAGGAGCUUGGAUGCUCCGAACACUGCAGCUUCCAGCAGCCCCCAGCCAAGGGUGGCACCUGCAGCAUUCCCAUAUGGUUCCCUGCACCGGGAGAAGCUGGAGCGGGACCUGGCAUCGGGAAGCAGCGCUCGGCUCCCGCUCAUCAGCACCUUCCAGAGAGGAGCGCCGCGCAAGCCGGAGCUAAUUGAGCAGGCGGCUCUGAAGGACGUACUACAUCUCCAUGGAAAACUGCUUCAGCGAGGCUGCUCGGGAUAAUAAACAAAGCACUUGGGCAGAUGAUAGGGCAUUUAAGUGUUUACUCUUCAGAGCAUUAAGUGCUAAAUUUGUUUUUAGCUCCCUUAUGAGAAGCCCUUGCGGAGGGAAAGCGCACGAGGGUCUCGGUUGUAUGGAGCAUCCAUGUCCAGCCCAGCACCUCGGCUCCAUGCCCUUGGGGACAUAAGGAUGCACUGGGACGGUCUCCAAGGGUCCCUGGGGUUUAAUGUGACCGUGAAGAAAGGAAAAUGCGGAAGAAAAAGGGUUUGCUCAGUGAAGGGAAAGGAAAGGGACAGCUCGCAGUGUUAUACUCACUGCAAGGAAAAUUGGAGAAGGAAGAUGGGACUGUGCUUGGGAUGUGCUCAAUGCUGGGUGGUUCUCCUGCCUUAAGAAACAGAAUGGAAAAAAAUAAAUAAAUAACAGAAAAACUCGCCCUUUGCAAAGCUCGCACCCCACCAGGCCAGCACAAAGGCAGAAUUAGCAGCCAGCAAAGAGGGACCCAGCAGCAAGGAGCCCGUGAGUCCGAACCCGGUUUUGUCGCACGGGAGCCCGUGCAGGACGGCUCCCAAACCAGUUCAGACAGGGCGUUCUCCAGCAACGUAGGGAAGGACAGGGGAGCAGGGCUGCUGUGUGCGCGCGGGGCCUUUUCGAGGCGAAAGCGCCACUUUUAGCCCAAUUUGGGCCGUGUCUGAGCACGCUUCCCCCGCGCAUCGUGGAUUCAAUUACGCCGCGCCGCGUUGCCCGUUUCUGUUAAAUUUUAACUCGUUUCACAUGGGCUGCGUGAACUUUGCCUGACAUUUGGAGGCAGGCAACUUGUGUCAUCAGGUUACGCUCACACUUAUCUCUGCAAAUAUAUCCCUUGUACCCAGCGCAGCCCCCCCUCUUCCCAACCCGUGCGCCCUCCUCAUCCUCCCGGGAUGAAGGCUCCGGGCUUGAGCGGUGGGAAGUGGCCGGCCCUGCUGAUCAAAGGCCUCGCCACUGUUGUUUUAGAGGUGACACGGACAUUUAAGGGGCUUUUGAAAGCCCAGCCUUUGCCGUAAAAAGCCAGACACCAGGCACGGAGCGACUGCAACGCGGGUUUAACGACAGUGAAACGGCCUUUUGUUYCUCAGCUCCAAGAAGAACCACAAGCCUGUUUAUAGUGUUUAUAAUAAAGCCUGCGAAACCUUUUACACGUAAUCCUGUAAAGUGAGACCCGCGGGCUCUGGCGGUGCCGAACGAGCCCCAGGGCGGGCAGAGCCGGCACGUGGGCUGCUCGCUUGGGUUCCCAACCAGGACCCACGUUUUAUCCCAGACUAUCCCAGUCUGGACUAUCCCAGGGUCGUCCAGAUGUCUCUGGAGGAUGUGACUGGUACUAAGUUGUGCUGCUGAGCAAGUGGCAGAGCAAGUUUGGGCAUGGYGUGGUUUGACAUGGAAUGGCUCUGCAUGGCUUGGUGUGGUUCAAUGUGGCAUGGUGUGGCAUGGCUUGCCAUAGCUUGGCAUGGCAUGGCAUGUCUCAACACGGCUUGGCACAGCCCACCAUGGCAUGUCUUGGUAUGGUUCAG